CUAUUUGAGGCUAACAGCUUCUUUUGUCUGGCCCAGAGCACCCUGGCUCCUGGGACAUUAGAAGAAGGGAGUGCAAAGGCACACUGGGCCGCGCCCAGUGUGGGGGAUGUUUGAGGGCUUCAGGGGCACCCACACUCAGUGUGGGGGGUGCAGAGAAGCUUAUACAAUGCCUACAGUCAGGUCUGAUCAGAUAACAAAACGGGACUCUCGUCGAGACUCCGCCCAUUGCCGCGGGUCUCUUGGAGCACGAGCUUAGCCACUGCCGCCAGGAGAGCCCCCCUCCCCGGGAUGGAGACUCCGCUUGCCUCGCCGCCACAGGUGGUUGGUGUGGAGGGGUUGCUGUUAGAUGGAGAUUUGUUACUGAACCAGCCAGGAAUUUCAAGGCUGGGAACAGGACCUGCCGUGGGAGAGAAGCAACUCCGAAAUAACAAGGCCCCAACGUGGUAUAAAUCAACGGACCUAUAAGCAGUGAGACUUUGGCGCGUGGACAGCUCGUGAACAUAGAUGAUAUCCAAUUAGCGAAUGCAUGCUUGGAGCGUGGACACGUGAUCAGAGAAUAAGGAGGCUUGUUUCUGUAAUAAAUGGCUUUGCGUGAUUCACAUUGAAUCGGAAUGCUGAGUCCUUUAUUCACUCCAACAAAUGGUGACCCCGACGUGACGCUCUGAACGGCGUAUCACUACGAUUGGGGAAAAGCCUGGAGUGGCCCAGACGGAGGCGGAUCAGCUGGACUGAGAACUGGGCAGAGGCGUACGGACGUUCCGCAGACAAAUUUCUCGAAAAAAUCACUGGAAAAGGCCAAGGAUUGAAGUGGAUUCCUGCAAACUGGGCCAAGCCAUGGCUGAAUAAAGACAACAAAGAUUCAAUGAAUGCAGAUGGACAGGAGGGAGAUAAGUUGUGAGGACUGUUUCAGACGUAAACCAUGAAUCCUAAUUCAGUGUUAUAGAUGCUCACAGACCUGGUGAUCUAGAAGCCUAUUAGCAAGCAGGUGGUGUACCUUCUGUGGAGAAUGGCAAUUUGAACAAACAGCAGGAGAGCCAAAAGGGCGAUAUUACACUUAAUCAAUGCAAAAAUGAGGUAAAAUUAUGAGACAUUCCUACCAUAGGACCUACUGCACUCUUUCUCACUGAUCUAGCAGCUGGUAAAGCUUUAGAAGACAUAUCAAAGUUCAACUAUUGUUCUUUUAAAUAGGUUAAUUUAACUCUUGAAAUACUAAUAAUAGAUGUUGAUGGUAUUAGACAUGUUACUCUACAAAAUCACGCAGUUAUAAAUGUUCUACUUUUAACAUUAGGAUUAUAGUUGUGCUGUAUUAACUUGUUUGAUUAUUCUAAAUCUAUUAAUAAGUGCUUUAGACAAGCUAGAACCGUACAUUAAUAAGAUUGCCGUAGUAAAGUUAAGGUUUGACAUACAGCUUAUAAGUUUUGGAAUAAGUGGGUAGUUGUUUGAUCAUAUUAAAUAAGGCUUAAUUGCAUUAUAUGUAACUGUAUUUAUUGCGUUAAUCAUGUGCUGUAUAUCGCAGUGUAUUUCAAAGAUGAUUCAGCGCACCGUAAAUGGGGCCCGGCUGGUUCAAGAAGAAAAAAGGGGGAAUUGUGGAGGGGUUGCUGUUAGAUGGAGAUUUGUUACUGAACCAGACAGGAAUUUCAAGGCUGGGAACAGGACCUGCCAUGGGAGAGAAGCAACUCCGAAAUAACAAGGCCUCAACGUGGUGUAAAUCAGCGGACCUACCAGCAGUGAGACUUCAGCGCGUGGACAGCUCGUGAACAUAGAUGAUAUCCAAUUAGCAAAUGCAUGAUUGGAGUGUGGACGCGUGAUCAGAGAAUAGUUGCAUAUAUAGGGAGGCUCGUUUCUGUAAUAAAUGGCUUUGCAUGAUUCACAUUGAA